AUGGCAGAAUGCUUCAAUAAGGUGCUCAAGGGUGUACGUGCAUUACCCGUGACGGCAAUAGUUCAAUACACAUUUGACAAGAUGAAUGAAUAUUUUUUAAAGCACUCAAUGGAGACUGAUAAGCAGAUUGCUGGUGAGAACAAGGACAAGCACAAGUACAAUUUCCCACCAAAGGUUGAAGAAUGGUUGGAAUUUCAAUCACAAAAGGCAGACUCCGAAGAAGCUGUACUAUAUGACGACAACGAGUGGAAGUAUGAGGUGAAAGAGCCUGGAGGAACCACAAACGAUGGCCGCCAACACGGAGGUCGGGCUUUCAAGGUCUCCCUAACACGGUGUGAUUGCAGCUGCAUGAGGCCGUCUUUGCUUCAUCUCCCAUGCUCGCACUUGUUAAAUGCAUCCCGGGUUAGGAAUGUGGACAUCAAUCACCCUCUUACCGUGAGGGAGUCCGAGUUCUCAAUCAAGACGGUAAAGAAUACAUGGACUCCACGGUUCCAGCCAUACUUGGACCAAUCACAAUGGCCGGAGUAUCAUGGAGUUCAACAUUUAUUAGGCUGCACCAACUCCCUCCCACCCAUCCCCACCCCACACACCCCCACCCUCCACACAAACCCGAAGCUCAGUGCCUCCCCUCUGCCCUCCUCUCUCCCCCUCUCAAAUCCUUCUCAGAUCCGGAGUAUUUGA
rnacentral:rRNA from 1 species